rnacentral:misc_RNA from 1 species
UCCGAGUUGACCCCGGCAGUCUCCUAAGAGUCCCCACCACUACGUGCUGGCAACAUGGGACAGGGGUUGCGCUCGUUGCGGGACUUAACCCAACAUCUCACGACACGAGCUGACGACAACCAUGCACCACCUGUUUACGAGUGUCCAAAGAGUUGACCAUUUCUGGCCCGUUCUCGUAUAUGUCAAGCCUUGGUAAGGUUCUUCGCGUUGCGUCGAAUUAAACCACAUACUCCACCGCUUGUGCGGGCCCCCGUCAAUUCCUUUGAGUUUCAGUCUUGCGACCGUACUCCCCAGGCGGCGAACUUAACGCGUUAGCUUCGAUACUGCGUGCCAAAUUGCACCCAACAUCCAGUUCGCAUCGUUUAGGGCGUGGACUAC